UACGGAGGGUGCAAGCGUUGUCCGGAUUUAUUGGGUUUAAAGGGUGCGUAGGCGGCGCGGUAAGUCGGGUGUGAAAUCUCGGAGCUUAACUCCGAAACUGCAUUCGAUACUGCCGUGCUUGAGGACUGGAGAGGAGACUGGAAUUUACGGUGUAGCGGUGAAAUGCGUAGAUAUCCGGAGGAACACCGGUGGCGAAGGCGGCUUCCUGGACCGACACUGACGCUGAGGCGCGAAAGCUAGGGGAGCAAACGGG
rnacentral:rRNA from 1 species